rnacentral:rRNA from 1 species
CUUGCUAAGUUUGAUGGCGACCGGCGCACGGGUGAGUAACACGUAUCCAACCUGCCGAUGACUCGGGGAUAGCCUUUCGAAAGAAAGAUUAAUACCCGAUGGCAUAGUUCUUCCGCGUGGUGGAACUAUUAAAGAAUUUCGGUCAUCGAUGGGGAUGCGUUCCAUUAGGUUGUUGGCGGGGUAACGGCCCACCAAGCCUUCGAUGGAUAGGGGUUCUGAGAGGAAGGUCCCCCACAUUGGAACUGAGACACGGUCCAAACUCCUACGGGAGGCAGCAUG